rnacentral:lncRNA from 1 species
GAUCAUUCAUUUGAUCAUCAGUAGUUCACGUCCGACAUGCGUAGAUCACCAUCCUCUUUAUUCUUGUACUCGUAAGUUUAGCCACCAAAUAUAUGCUUAGCCGCUGCUGCAACCUCACCACUUAACCAUGCCUCACCCAUUAAGCUUUGCUAGUCUUGAUACCUUUGGAAAUGAGAUUGCUGAGUGUGACAGCCCGAUGCCGAUGCUCCAGAAGAUUCC